rnacentral:tRNA from 1 species
ACCGUGUUAGUUUAAUGGUAAAACGUGCUGGCUUUGGGCUGGCAAUUUGCAGGUUCGAAUCCUGCACACGGUA